rfam:Oryza punctata chromosome 2, whole genome shotgun sequence.
ACUCCCUCUAGCCAUGAGUUUCCAUAUCCAACUUUAUGAUUAGUAUUUUUAUUAUUAUUAGAUAAUAAAAUAUGAAUAAUACUUUAUGCGUGACUAAUGUUUUUUUAAUUUUUUUAAUUUUUUUCAAAUAAGAUGGACGAUUAUAGUUGGAUACGGAAACUCAUGGCUGCGCUUAAA